rnacentral:rRNA from 1 species
UACACUCCUACGGGAGGCAGCAGUGAGGAAUAUUGGACAAUGGGUGGAAGCCUGAUCCAGCCAUCCCGCGUGCAGGAAGACGGCCCUAUGGGUUGUAAACUGCUUUUAUCUGGGGAUAAACCUACUUACGUGUAAGUAGCUGAAGGUACCAGAAGAAUAAGCACCGGCUAACUCCGUGCCAGCAGCCGCGGUAAUACGGAGGGUGCAAGCGUUAUCCGGAUUUAUUGGGUUUAAAGGGUCCGUAGGCGGACUGAUAAGUCAGUGGUGAAAUCCGACAGCUUAACUGUCGAACUGCCAUUGAUACUGUUAGUCUUGAGUAAGGUUGAAGUGGCUGGGAUAAGUAGUGUAGCGGUGAAAUGCAUAGAUAUUACUUAGAACACCAAUUGCGAAGGCAGGUCACUAAGUCUUAACUGACGCUGAUGGACGAAAGCGUGGGGAGCGAACAGGAUUAGAAACCCUGGUAGUCCC